CGGUAGCUAAUACCGCAUAAUGUCGCAAGACCAAAGUGGGGGACCUUCGGGCCUCAUGCCAUCAGAUGUGCCCAGAUGGGAUUAGCUAGUAGGUGGGGUAACGGCUCACCUAGGCGACGAUCCCUAGCUGGUCUGAGAGGAUGACCAGCCACACUGGAACUGAGACACGGUCCAGACUCCUACGGGAGGCAGCAGUGGGGAAUAUUGCACAAUGGGCGCAAGCCUGAUGCAGCCAUGCCGCGUGUGUGAAGAAGGCCUUCGGGUUGUAAAGCACUUUCAGCGGGGAGGAAGGCGUUAAGGUUAAUAACCUUGUCGAUUGACGUUACCCGCAGAAGAAGCACCGGCUAACUCCGUGCCAGCAGCCGCGGUAAUACGGAGGGUGCAAGCGUUAAUCGGAAUUACUGGGCGUAAAGCGCACGCAGGCGGUCUGUCAAGUCGGAUGUGAAAUCCCCGGGCUCAACCUGGGAACUGCAUUCGAAACUGGCAGGCUAGAGUCUUGUAGAGGGGGGUAGAAUUCCAGGUGUAGCGGUGAAAUGCGUAGAGAUCUGGAGGAAUACCGGUGGCGAAGGCGGCCCCCUGGACAAAGACUGACGCUCAGGUGCGAAAGCGUGGGGAGCAAACAGGAUUAGAUACCCUGGUAGUCCACGCCGUAAACGAUGUCGAUUUGGAGGUUGUGCCCUUGAGGCGUGGCUUCCGGAGCUAACGCGUUAAAUCGACCGCCUGGGGAGUACGGCCGCAAGGUUAAAACUCAAAUGAAUUGACGGGGGCCCGCACAAGCGGUGGAGCAUGUGGUUUAAUUCGAUGCAACGCGAAGAACCUUACCUGGUCUUGACAUCCACAGAACUUUCCAGAGAUGGAUUGGUGCCUUCGGGAACUGUGAGACAGGUGCUGCAUGGCUGUCGUCAGCUCGUGUUGUGAAAUGUUGGGUUAAGUCCCGCAACGAGCGCAACCCUUAUCCUUUGUUGCCAGCGGUUCGGCCGGGAACUCAAAGGAGACUGCCAGUGAUAAACUGGAGGAAGGUGGGGAUGACGUCAAGUCAUCAUGGCCCUUACGACCAGGGCUACACACGUGCUACAAUGGCAUAUACAAAGAGAAGCGACCUCGCGAGAGCAAGCGGACCUCAUAAAGUAUGUCGUAGUCCGGAUUGGAGUCUGCAACUCGACUCCAUGAAGUCGGAAUCGCUAGUAAUCGUAGAUCAGAAUGCUACGGUGAAUACGUUCCCGGGCCUUGUACACACCGCCCGUCACACCAUGGGAGUGGGUUGCAAAAGAAGUAGGUAGCUUAACCUUCGGGAGGGCGCUUACCACUUUGUGAUUCAUGACUGGGGUGAAGUCGUAACAAGGUAACCGUAGGGGAACCUGCGGUUGGAUCACCUCCUUACCUUAAAGAA
rnacentral:rRNA from 1 species